rnacentral:rRNA from 1 species
CUGGCUCAGGAUGAACGCUAGCGACAGGCUAACACAUGCAAGUCGAGGGGCAGCAUAAAAGUAGCAAUACUUGGUGGCGACCGGCGCACGGGUGAGUAACGCGUAUGCAACCUACCUAUCAGAGGGGAAUAACCCGGCGAAAGUCGGACUAAUACCGCAUAAAACAGGGGCACCGCAUGGUGAUAUUUGUUAAAGAAAUUCGCUGAUAGAUGGGCAUGCGUUCCAUUAGGUAGUUGGUGAGGUAACGGCUCACCAAGCCGACGAUGGAUAGGGGAACUGAGAGGUUGGUCCCCCACACUGGUACUGAGACGCGGACCAGACUCCUACGGGAGGCAGCAGUGAGGAAUAUUGGUCAAUGGGCGAGAGCCUGAACCAGCCAAGUCGCGUGAAGGAAGAAGGAUCUAUGGUUCGUAAACUUCUUUUGCAGGGGAAUAAAGUGCAGGACGUGUCCUGUUUUGUAUGUACCCUGAGAAUAAGGAUCGGCUAACUCCGUGCCAGCCGCCGC